AUGGUUAUAAUAGGAGGAGAUGCGGGUGGCAAUGAAGGAGAUCGUUCUGGAAGUCAACCUCUUCGCCGGAACUCGAAGCGUCCUGCUAAUCGCCAGCCACGACCUGCGCAGAGUGUUGAGCAGGGAGAGGAUGUUGAGGAUGCUGAUCAGUUCCGUGUUGUAAAGCGGACUAGACGUGCAGCACUUGGCAAGGGAGCUGAGUCAUCUUCUAGGGCAGCAGUUGCUGGAGAAGCUGUCGCAUCUUCCACAGCAGAUGCUGAGGGCAGCGGUGAAGGAGUUAAGGUGUCUCCAGGGGAAGAUGUGGAGCGACCAUCACAAGCAGGCAGGAUAAGGGCAUCACCAACGCGCUUUGCAAAUUUCAACGCCUCUCUAACUCCACUACAGAAAUCAGAGCUAGUUUCGAGGUCGGUCGGGGGGCUAUUGAACUUAUCAGACACACUUCCAGCGGACCUCACUAAGUUCCUGGUGCAGUCCUACCAGCCACAGACCUUUGAAAUGGUUUUCCCAGGAAGGGGAAGGAUCUGUGUCGAUGCUGACAGUGUUCAGAGGAUCACUACAUGGCUCAAGAUUAUUGAGCAUAUGGCUGGAAGAACGGAUGACACAUUUUUUAUGGCCUGGCUUGCGGUUGCCUUCAGUACUUUUCUAGCACCAACCACGGCCUUGAAGCUCAGCCCAAAGUGUUAUGGACUUGUGCUAGAUCAUCAAAUGCUAAAGAAUACAAACAUCUGCCUCUUUGUAGCAGAACACAUUAACGAAGCUUUCCGGAACAUGGACCAGGAGAAGCAAACUGUUUGCUGCUGCUUGUAUCACUUGAUGAUACUAUACCUUGAUGCACUCGUACAUGACAUCCCAGUAAGCAACUGCGCGAUACGAUCGAAUGCAUGGGAUAGUACUCUAAUUGCCAAGGUGAUCAAGAAUGAUACUAUCUCUCCUGGUGUGAUCGGCAAAUUACAACUUAAAGAGGAGUAUAGAGGCACGGAGCAGAUACCACUGUUUGGUGGAAUUUUGCAAGCUGAAGCAUUUGUGGCAUCCAAGUUACCAAUAAUAUACAAUCCGCAGAAAAAGGCAAAAAUUGCGAAAGUGCAGCCACCAAUGCAAACUGGGGCACCACGCCGUGCUCCAAAAAGAAAGAGACGGCGGUCAACUAUACAAGAAGAAGAAGAAUUUGUUGAGGAUGAUUCAGAAGAAGAUGAGGAAAUGGGAGCAGCGAUAGAUGCUGACGACGAUGAGGAGACAGAUGCGGAUGAAUCAGAGGAGGAGGACAAGGAUGAGGAUGACAAUGAAGAAGAUGCAGAGGAGGAGGAGGAUGAGGAAGAGGAGGAGGAGGAGGAGGAGGACAAACAAGAAGAGGACAAAGGAGAGGAGGAGAACAAGGAAGAAGAUAGUGAUGUAGAGGAGGAGGAGGAGGAAGAAGGUGAGGCCAGAGAGGGGGACGGGGACAAAGGGGCAGCAGUUGAUGGCAGUGAGAGGGGAGAAGACAAAGGCGUAGCAGCUGAUGGCAGUGAGAGGGAAGAAGACGAGGAUGAAGAAGACGAGGAUGAUUAUGGUGAUGAUAAAGGGGGAUCCAAUGGAGGCAGCGACAGCAGCGAUGACGAUGAUGAUGACAACGCUCCUGGUUCUGGUGGUACAGGUGGCAACACAUCCAGGAGGACUAGCACUCACGCCACCCCUGCGAGCAGCAGCAAUUCAUUGAGUAGCAGGAGCACACUACAUUUGUUGAUUGACAAGACUUGCUGGAAAGACAAGGAUUUGCCAAAGUCAAAGAAAAAUGAUGAAGCAGAGUCUCAGGGAAGCAUUGAUAUGUUCAAGCUCUGCAACUUGAAGCCAGCUUUGCCAACCACCUUUCCCGUGCCAGAUUUCAGCGACAAAGAUAUGUGUGAGAAGAUCAACUUUGCCAUUGACAAGAGCCUGUUCUUAUCAACUGAAGCUGAAAAGAAUCAAAUUGACAUGGAGGAAGUAGGAAAAGGUCUUGACUGGGUUCAUUCAAAGGAAAAAUACAAGGAAUAUUUAAAGCAGCUCCCAGACCUAAGCUCCAGCAAGAGCAAGGCAGCAUCCACGGCAAACCCUCAUGUGGUCCAGAAGUGUAAAGCAGUUUCAAUGAAGAAGAAUCUGCAGUUGCCUCAAACCAAGGAGAAGAUGGUGAGUGAAGAUGCUGAAGUAAAUAUGGUCAAGGAAGCUGUGCUUCAAACUACUAUGCCAACAGUAGUGAGCAGAGAGCCAACCAAUGUCAGAGAAGUUCAACAGAUCAAGGGGAAGACUCCCCUUUCAACAGUCCCACCAAAACCACCUAAGCAGAAGAUUGUCAAGUUUGCCAGGGGCGCAAAGGGGGAACAGGCCACAAAAGAUUUGGGGUUCAGAGACGAGAGAGAGCUGCGAGCCGCAGCCAUUGAUGCAGGGGUGCCAAGUUCUGCCAGGUUGCUGCCAACUCAGACUGGAAAGAUGCCAACUACAGAUACCAGUGUGCCAACUGAUGUGUCAGUUAGCAGUAUGGUCACAGUCAAAACCACCACAGCUGGUCAGGAAGGCACCACUGCAACUGCAAGUCCCAAGGUGCCUACUGAUAGAGAUGCUUCAAUGCCAAACACAAAAGGAGGUGAUCCAACUAUCAAAGUGCCGUCCCCAAGAGUUGUCUUUUAG
rnacentral:rRNA from 1 species